rnacentral:misc_RNA from 1 species
CUUCAUGCUUGAUAUUGCUUAGUGCGGAUGGUCUUAUUUGACACAUCUUAUUAUUUAUAAAGUUAUCUUAUUUAUUAUUUAUAGACUUAAGAUUUUCUUAUUAAUUAUAAAUUCAGUCGUUUAAGAUUGUCUUUAACAUAUAUGCUGUUAAAUAAGUUUCGUCAAGCGUGGUCAAAGAUGAUUUAAGCAGAAGUGAAUACGAGGUUCAUAGCAUUACCAGCAACUUGUGGGAAAAAUGAAAACAAUCAGAAGGAAAAAUUUAUGUAAAUAAGAAGUAUGCUACACAAUGAAAGGAUUGAACUCAAGAUCAAGAGACUGGAAUGGAUGAACCACUAGUGCCAGAUGACUGGGAAAUAUGAUUAACAGAAGAUGAGCUGAUUCUUAUAGCUGACUAAUGCUAUGUAAUCAUAUUAAGAUUAGUGUUAGUUAACAGACAUUAUUUGAAGAUUUCUUACCAUCAAAUAAUGAACGGAAAUUUUUGCACUAAAAUGAUUAUAUA